UACGAAGGGGGCUAGCGUUGCUCGGAAUGACUGGGCGUAAAGGGCGCGUAGGCGGUUUGUGCAGUCAGGUGUGAAAUUCCCGGGCUCAACCUGGGGGCUGCACUUGAUACGUAUGGACUGGAGUGGGGAAGAGGGUCGUGGAAUUCCCAGUGUAGAGGUGAAAUUCGUAGAUAUUGGGAAGAACACCGGUGGCGAAGGCGGCGACCUGGUCCUUGACUGACGCUGAGGCGCGAAAGCGUGGGGAGCAAACAGG
rnacentral:rRNA from 1 species